CGCAGGAUCCUGCAUGGUUAUCCGAUACCAGAGAUUAUGCAGAUGCCAACAGGCAAGGCAGGAUCAGGCACGAUGGAGGGAGCCGACCAUGUCGCGGAGGAGGAUCGUGUUGAAAGGAAAGACAAAAGUCAGGCUUGGGGACCAGAGCUCCACUCUGGCCAAUUGUAGAUAAUCCAGACCAUCAUCACAGAGGACUGGGCACCAAGAGUGCGAAUCUCCUGGGAACCAAUCUGAUCUAGGUAGGAAUGUCUGUGGAGCCCACACAAGAGCUGUGGAAGUAUCUUGAUGUUUACUCACACUAAGCAAGGCAUCAAGCAGCAGAGCUAGAAGAAACACCUUUCUUAAAGAAGACGUUGACCUUCCAGAUUCUCUCUCAGUACCCAACUUUCUGUACCACUCUCACGGACAAAAGAACGUCUCGCUCCAGAGCCACCAACACUACCAAAAUUACGAAGUUAUGAAACUACCACAAAGCAGCUGAGGAGCGCAUCGGGGUGAAGCAGGGCACGCAGCCUUCCAGAAGCACCUGGUUUGCCACAGGCAUGGUCGGAAGGAUAAAGAGACCCAGCUGGAGCGGCAGAUUGAGACAUGCAGAGAGACACAGAUCCCUCCUCUACCCCCCUCAAAUAAAAAGAGCAUCUCUGGAGAGGUUUGAAUGGAGUGAGAAACAUACUAUUACAAUUAUUACAUCCCCAUUCAACAACAAUUGCGUGGCAUGGUGCCAGCUGGCACCAGAAAGGCAUUGCUGCUUCUCCUUCAUUGCCCGAUACACACCGUGACAAGAAUACAGCUCUUGUUCAGCUGAGAACCUAAGAAUGGGAGAGGAGAAGCCAAAAACACCUCCUUGAACAAUCACCAUCGAGUCAACAGAACUGCACUUGGGAAAAACAUAUUUCGAACAUUUCUUUCCUGAGGUUUUUAGGGAGGGGAGAUUGGUACGUGGGUUGGG
ensembl:lncRNA